rnacentral:rRNA from 1 species
GAUGAACGCUGGCGGCGUGCCUAAUACAUGCAAGUCGAGCGUACAGAUGAGGAGCUUGCUCCUCUGACGUUAGCGGCGGACGGGUGAGUAACACGUGGAUAACCUACCUAUAAGACUGGGAUAACUUCGGGAAACCGGAGCUAAUACCGGAUAAUAUAUUGAACCGCAUGGUUCAAUAGUGAAAGACGGUUUUGCUGUCACUUAUAGAUGGAUCCGCGCCGCAUUAGCUAGUUGGUAAGGUAACGGCUUACCAAGGCAACGAUGCGUAGCCGACCUGAGAGGGUGAUCGGCCACACUGGAACUGAGACACGGUCCAGACUCCUACGGGAGGCAGCAGUAGGGAAUCUUCCGCAAAGGGCGAAAGCCUGACGGAGCAACGCCGCGUGAGUGAUGAAGGUCUUCGGAUCGUAAAACUCUGUUAUUAGGGAAGAACAAAUGUGUAAGUAACUAUGCACGUCUUGACGGUACCUAAUCAGAAAGCCACGGCUAACUACGUG